GGCUUAUUGAUAAUAAUUUUAAGUCGAUCUGCCCAAUGAAAGUAAUUAAAUGGCUGCAGUAUAACUAACUGUACAAAGGUAGCAUAAUCAAUUGUUUUUUAAUUGAAAACUGGAAUGAAAGAAUUAAUGAGAUAUAUACUGUCUCAUAUAUAUUUAAUAAAAUUAAAUUUUUAGUAAAAAUGCUAAAAUAAAUUUAUGGGACGAUAAGACCCUAUAGAAUUUUAUAUUAAUUAUUAGAUUUAGAUAAAUUUUAAGAGUUAAUAUUUAAUUGGGAGGAUUAAUAAAUUUAAUAAACUUUAUUUUAAAAAUAAACUUUAAUUAAAGGAUAAAGUUAAUGAUCUUGUAUUAUAAAUUAUAAGAAAAAAUUACCUUAGGGAUAACAGCGUAAUAUCUUUUUAAAGAUCAGAUUGAUAAAGAUGAUUGCGACCUCGAUGUUGAAUUAAGAUAAAUUUUAAAUGGAGAAGUUUAAUAAUUAAGUCUGUUCGACUUUUAAAAUCUUACAUGAUUUGAGUUCAAAUCGACGUGAGU
rnacentral:rRNA from 1 species